rnacentral:rRNA from 1 species
UACGGGGGGAGCAAGCGUUGUUCGGAUUUACUGGGCGUAAAGGGCGCGUAGGCGGCCACCGCAAGUCAAUUGUGAAAUCUCCGGGCUUAACCCGGAAAGGUCAACUGAUACUGCGGGGCUAGAGUGCGGAAGGGGCAACUGGAAUUCUCGGUGUAGCGGUGAAAUGCGUAGAUAUCGAGAGGAACACCUGCGGCGAAGGCGGGUUGCUGGGCCGACACUGACGCUGAUGCGCGAAAGCCAGGGGAGCGAACGGG